UACAUUCAGUUGAGAACUCUAAUGAGACUGCCAGUGAUAAACUGGAGGAAGGUGGGGAUGACGUCAAAUCAUCAUGCCCCUUAUGACCUGGGCUACACACGUGCUACAAUGGCCGGUACAAAGAGUUGCGAAACUGUGAAGUUAAGCUAAUCUCAUAAAGCCGGUCUCAGUUCGGAUUGUAGUCUGCAACUCGACUACAUGAAGUCGGAAUCGCUAGUAAUCGCGAAUCAGAAUGUCGCGGUGAAUACGUUCUCGAGUCUU
rnacentral:rRNA from 1 species